rnacentral:rRNA from 1 species
UUAGGAAUCUUCCACAAUGGGCGAAAGCCUGAUGGAGCGACGCCGCGUGAGGGAUGAAGGCCUUAGGGUUGUAAACCUCUAAAAGAGGGACGAUAAUGACGGUACCUCUUGAAUAGCACCGGCUAACUCCGUGCCAGCAGCCGCGGUAAUACGGAGGGUGCAAGCGUUAUCCGGAAUCACUGGGCGUAAAGGGCGCGUAGGCGGUCUGUUAAGUCCGAUGUUAAAUCCCGGGGCCCAACCCCGGAUAAGCGUUGGAUACUGGCAGGCUAGACGGUUGGAGAGGCGAGUGGAAUUACCAGUGUAGCGGUGGAAUGCGUAGAUACUGGUAGGAACACCCAUUGCGAAGGCAGCUCGCUGGACAACACGUGACGCUGAGGCGCGAAAGUGUGGGGAGCAAACC